CAUGUGAAGAAUAAACUUACAGAUAAGCAGAAACUCGCUUAAACAACGAUUAUAAACGUCGCAGAUGAAUUACGCUCUCUUUGACUAAGCCAAGGUGUUGAUAUAUAAAAGGACUGAGAGACGAUCGUUGCACAGUGCACAUACACAAUGUUUUAUUCUACUUAAUCUUCGUUUCUAGAAAUUUAAUCGACAAAAUGUACCUAAUAACAACAACUUUUGCCACAUUAACACUUUAUCUCAUACUCGCCACCAACAGAAUUUUCACUGCUGCUGACGAAACCACCGAGUCUGAAGAACCGACGAAAUGUGGCGAAAAUGAAGAGUACACGACGUGCAAUCUUUGUCCAAAAAAUUGCGAAAAUCCCUUUCAAGAAAUUUGCUCGCCAGGGCCUUGCAUAAAGGCUUGUAAAUGUAAAUCGGGAUACUACAAGGACAGUGAGGGCGUGUGCGUGUCUAUCAUAGCUUGCAUCGUCGAUAAUAUCAGAAAUCGAAGUGAGUAAUCAUCGAUAUACGCAGAAUAUACAGAAAUGUGUCAAAUGUCCAAGAUACGGUUUUCGUUAUAUUCGUUCCACAGGUAACAGAGCGAAGCGAUUCUUCUUCGGCAAAUACGUCAUAGCCAAGGUGCUAAAAUUGAACAGGUGUUUAUCCAUGUUUGGAAGAAGGAAGUUUAAAGAGUACAAGUAGAACGAGAAUUACGCGUAUUGUGUACGAUAUUCGGGAAGAAAAAUAGAUAUAUUAAUCUGCUGUUACUUACUCAAUUUUAAUAACGUCUGUCGCAGUAUAUUUCUUGAUAUUUGUGUAUAAAUAUCAAGAAUUAUGAAAUAAAUGUUCCCAUAUUUACAUACUUCAAGCGAAGUGCGGUCAGUCGUAUGAAUUUCUGCAAAUCUUGACGGAUGUCAAAGACCACGACCUCUCCAGAUUAUAAUUUUGUUAAUUGCUCGUCUUGAACGAUACCGAUAUUAUCUCACGAUACUUACUUUUUCAAAACAUAUGUUGCAUUAAAGAAUAAUUCGAGGAAAAUAUUUACUAUCGAAUCGUAGUACUUAAAUUUAUCGAGGAAAUUGACAAAACAAGGUGCAUCUGCUACCGAUUAAAGAUUAUUAUACAAUUAUCUAA